rnacentral:lncRNA from 1 species
GCAAUCCCAACACUGGAUUCUAAAGUUACUGUAGGCUGGAACUCAGAUUCUUCCAGUCACUGCUGUAACUCCAGGACCUGGAACAGUGCCUAGCUUAAUAAAUAUUUACUAAAUGUCUGAUAACUUAACAAUACCUCAGUAAAAUUUACCGAUAAAUGAGGGCGGAACCACAUGAAUGAGUCUCAACUGCAUUAUGCUGAGUAAAAGGCAUUAACGCUCACAAGUUCAUGGCCAUGGUUUGCCUGUCGUUCAGCUUCCAAGGGUCUGUGUGUUGGAAGCUUGGUCCCCUGAGGGGCGAUAUUGGGGUGUGGUGGAGUCUUUAAGAGGUGGGCCUAGUGGGAAGUGGUUAGAUCACUGUAGAUGCUGCCCUUGGAAGGGACUAAUGCAGUUCCUGUGGAAGCCCAGUUAGUUCCCACGAGAGUGAGUUCUCUCCCAACUUUCUGUCUCCGAGACCAUGGAAAAUCUAAUGGAUCACCAGCCCUGUGUCCACCAGAAUAAUAUUUUUUCCUGUCUGCUAUAGUACAGGUGGGUAUCUUCCUCCUUUACAUUUAACCUCAUUAAGUAAAUCAGUAAACCAUUGUCGUUGUCCUAUUUAGGUUUUCUACACUUUCUGCAUGCAGCGACAAGAGGAAGUUUCUGUUGUAAAACGUGGGAUGAUCAUGAUACCGUCUUCUCAGCGUUUUUGUGAGGAUUAAAUUGCAAAGUGUUUGUAAAUUGCUCCGAAGGCUUUCUGACAUAUCUGAAGAACUGUACGUGCUACUGUAUUUUAAGAUUUAUUUAUUUAUUUGAAAGUCAGAGUUACACAGAGAGAGAAAGAGAGGCAGAGAGAGAGAGGUCUUCCAUCCGAGGUUCAUUUCCCAGAUGGCUGCAACAGCCAGAGCUGUGCUGAUCUGAAGCCAGGAGCCAGGAGCUUCUUCCGGGUCUCCCACACGGGUGCAGGGGCCCAAGGACUUGGGCCAUCUUCUACUGCUUUCCCGGGCCAUAGCAGAGAGCUGGAUAGAAAGUGGAGCAGCCAGGACU